rnacentral:rRNA from 1 species
CUAGAUCAGAAGCGAGAAUGUUGACAUGAGUAGCGACAAACAGGGUGAGAAACCCUGUCGCCGAAAGUCCAAGGGUUCCUGCUUAAAGCUAAUCUGAGCAGGGUAAGCCGGCCCCUAAGGCGAGGCCGAAAGGCGUAGUCGAUGGGAACCAGGUUAAUAUUCCUGGGCCAGUGGGAUGUGACGGAUCGCAGAUGUAGUUUGCCCUUAUCGGAUUGGGUGGGCUGCUGAGCGGUUCCAGGAAAUAGCCCCACAUCAGACCGUACCCUAAACCGACACAGGUGGACUGGUAGAGUAUACCAAGGCGCUUGAGAGAACCACGUUAAAGGAACUCGGCAAAAUGCCUCCGUAAGUUCGCGAGAAGGAGGCCCCAUAUGUACGCAAGUAUGUGUGGGGGGCACAAACUAGGGGGUGGCGACUGUUUACUUAAAACACAGGGCUGUGCGAAGCCGUAAGGCGACGUAUACAGUCUGACGCCUGCCCGGUGCUGGAAGAUUAAGAGGAGGGGUGCAAGCUCUGAAUUGAAGUCCCAGUAAACGGCGGCCGUAACUAUUACGGUCCUAAGGUAGCGAAAUUCCUUGUCGGGUAAGUUCCACCUGCACGAAUGGCGUAACGAUCUCCCCGCUGUCUCUAACGUGGACUCAGCGAAAUUGAACUGUGUGUCAAGAUGCACACUACCCGCGGUUAGACGGAAAGACCCCAUGAACCUUUACUCCAGCUUUGCACUGGUAUCAGGAUUGUGAUGUGCAGGAUAGGUGGUAGGCAUUGAAGCGGGGACGCCAGUCUUCGUGGAGCCUCCCUUGAGAUACCACCCUUCGCCAUCUUGAUAUCUAACCGCGGCCCGUUAUCCGGGUCCGGGACCCUGCGUGGUGGGGAGUUUGACUGGGGCGGUCGCCUCCCAAACAGUAACGGAGGCGCGCGAUGGUUGGCUCAGACCGGUCGGAAAUCGGUCGUUGAGUGCAAUGGCAGAAGCCAGCCUGACUGCAAGACUGACAAGUCGAGCAGAGACGAAAGUCGGUCAUAGUGAUCCGGUGGUCCCAAGUGGGAGGGCCAUCGCUCAACGGAUAAAAGGUACUCUGGGGAUAACAGGCUGAUGAUGCCCAAGAGUCCAUAUCGACGGCAUCGUUUGGCACCUCGAUGUCGGCUCAUCUCAUCCUGGGGCUGGAGCAGGUCCCAAGGGUAUGGCUGUUCGCCAUUUAAAGAGGUACGUGAGCUGGGUUUAGAACGUCGUGAGACAGUUCGGUCCCUAUCUGCCGUGGGUGCAGGAGACUUGAGAAGGGUUGACCCUAGUACGAGAGGACCGGGUUGAACGAACCACUGGUGGACCAGUUAUCGUGCCAACGGUAGUGCUGGGUAGCUAUGUUCGGACAGGAUAACCGCUGAAGGCAUCUAAGCGGGAAGCCCCCUUCAAAACAAGGUCUCCCUUGAGGGCCGUGGAAGACGACCACGUCGAUAGGCCAGAGGUGUAAGUGCAGCAAUGCAUUCAGCUGACUGGUACUAAUUGCCUGA